UAGGGAAUCACAUCAGGGGCACGUGCGCAGAUCUUCUUCCACAGAAAGAAAGCAUGCUGACUAAUCUGAAACUUACCACUGGUCAGUCAAGUGCCAUACCUCGCCCACAUCAUCAUGCUCCAUAUAGACUCGAGACUAAGCAAUAGUCUAGCAACAUGUCGAGCAAUUAGAGCCUCCCACCUCAUAACCAAGGAUUGAAUGCCG
rnacentral:lncRNA from 1 species